UACGUACAAGCAGUGGGAGCCCCACCACUAAGCCAGUGGUGAACUCCACAUACGCAUCCUUUGCUGAGGAUACGGUUAACGGAGCGAAAGCGACGUUCAACCGCAAAAGAAGCAGAGGGGGCUUAGUGGUGGGGUGACUGCGUACCUUUUGUAUAAUGGGUCAGCGACUUAUAUUCUGUAGCAAGGUUAACCGAAUAGGGGAGCCGGAGGGAAACCGAGUCUUAAUUGGGCGUUAAGUUGCAGGGUA
rnacentral:rRNA from 3 species